UUUUUGAGCCAAAUUACCCCAAAGGAAUCAGAUACCAUCUGAUCUUGGAAGCUAAGCUGGGUCAGCCCUGCUUAAUAUUUAGAUGGGAGACUGCCAAAAAAUGCUAGGUGCUGUAGGCU
rnacentral:rRNA from 1 species